GACAGAGGGUGCAAACGUUGUUCGGAAUUACUGGGCGUAAAGCGAGUGUAGGCGGUUUCCUAAGUCAGGUGUGAAAGCCCCGGGCUCAACCCGGGAAGUGCACUUGAAACUGGGAGGCUAGAGUAUCGGAGAGGUUGGUGGAAUUCUCGGUGUAGAGGUGAAAUUCGUAGAUAUCGAGAGGAACACCGGUGGCGAAGGCGGCCAACUGGACGAAUACUGACGCUGAGACUGAACGCGUGGGGAGCAAACGG
rnacentral:rRNA from 1 species